UUGAUCAUGGCUCAGAACGAACGCUGGCGGCGCGUCUAAGCAUGCAAGUCGAACGGCAAGAGGUAGCAAUACCUCCUAGAGUGGCGGACUGGUGAGUAACACGUGGGUGACAUACCCUUCAGAUGGGGAUAGCUAUUAGAAAUAGUAGAUAAUACCGAAUACGAGCACAGGGGUUAGAGAUCUGUGAGGAAAGGAGCUAAGGCUCCGCUGAAGGAAUGGCCUGCGGCCCAUUAGCUAGUUGGUGAGGUAAGAGCCCACCAAGGCGAUGAUGGGUAUCCGGCCUUAGAGGGUGAACGGACACAUUGGGACUGAGAUACGGCCCAGACUCCUACGGGAGGCAGCAGCUAAGAAUAUUCCGCAAUGGACGAAAGUCUGACGGAGCGACGCCGCGUUGGAUGAAGAAGGCCGGAAGGUUGUAAAAUCCUUUUGAAACUGAAGAAUAAGCGUUGUAGGGAAUGACAGCGUGGUGACAGUAGGUUUUGAAUAAGCAACGGCUAAUUACGUGCCAGCCGCAGC
rnacentral:rRNA from 1 species